AUCGAUGAAGAACGCAGCGAAAUGCGAUAAGUAAUGUGAAUUGCAGAAUUCAGUGAAUCAUCGAAUCUUUGAACGCACAUUGCGCCCUUUGGUAUUCCUUAGGGCAUGCCUGUUCGAGCGUCACUAACAACCUGAUCACCUCAUGUGUGGUAUUGGCAGAAGUGGGUAGAGCAUAGUUGCUAGUAGUCCCACCCUGCUGGAAUGAAUAGGCUGGAAAAGUAGAUCAUAGCAACAGACUUUCAGAGUAUUUUGAAAUGCUAAAUUAGUUUGGAGCUGGUCGGAACCCAGGCCAUUUGACCCCCAUUCUGUGUAAAGCAGUAAGGUUGACCUCGGAUCAGGUAGGGAUACCCGCUGAACUUAAGCAUAUCAAUAAGCGGAGGAAAAGAAACCAACAGGGAUUGCCUUAGUAACGGCGAGUGAAGCGGCAAAAGCUCAAAUUUGAAAUCUGACGCCUCUGGUGUUCGAGUUGUAAUUUGGAGAGGCAUCUUCUGGAGGGGCCCAGCCUAUGUGCCUUGGAACAGGACAUCAUAGAGGGUGAGAAUCCCGUUCUUGGCUGGAUGUUCCCUCCGGUAUGUAGUGUCUUCUACGAGUCGAGUUGUUUGGGAAUGCAGCUCAAAAUGGGUGGUAAAUUUCAUCUAAAGCUAAAUACUGGCGAGAGACCGAUAGCGCACAAGUAGAGUGAUCGAAAGAUGAAAAGCACUUUGAAAAUAGAGUCAAAAAGUACGUGAAAUUGUUGAAAGGGAAGCGCUUGAGACCAGAGUCAGCCUUUGGCAAACAAUUGUCCUUCUGGGCGGUGCACUUGUCAUUGGUUGGGCCAGCAUCGGUUGGGACGGUGGGAUAAAGGCUUGGGAAAUGUGACUCCAUUACGGAGUGUUAUAGUCCCAGGUGGCAUGCCAUCAGUCCCGACCGUGGACCGCGCCUUGGCUCGGAUGCUGGCUUAAUGGUCUUCAGCGACCCGUCUUGAAACACGG
rnacentral:rRNA from 1 species